rnacentral:rRNA from 1 species
CGGGCGAGUGAAGUGGGAAAAGCUCAACUUUGAAAUCUGGUACUUUCAGUAUCCGAAUUGUAGUCUCAAGAAGUGUUUUCUGUGCCGGUCCAUGUAUGAGUCUGUUGGAACACAGCGUCAUAGAGGGUGACAACCCCGUUCAUGACAUGGAUCCCGGUGCUUUGUGAUACACUCUCGAAGAGUCGAGUUGUUUGGGAAUGCAGCUCAAAUUGGGUGGUAAAUUCCAUCUAAAGCUAAAUAUUGGCGAGAGACCGAUAGCAAACAAGUACCGUGAGGGAAAGAUGAAAAGCACUUUGGAAAGAGAGUUAACAGUACGUGAAAUUGUUGAAAGGGAAACGAUUGAAGUCAGACGUGCGUGAUGCGGUUCAGCUUUAGUUCGCUAGAGUGUACUCCGUAUCUUUGCAGGCCAACAUCGGUUUUGUUAGUCGGAUAAAGGUUUGAGAAAUGUGGCACCUUCGGGUGUGUUAUAGUCUCAGACUGAAUACGAUUGAUGGGACCGAGGAACGCAGCGCGCCGCAGGGCAAAGGUUCCGACCUUUUCGCGCUUAGGAUGUUGGUGAAAUGGCUUUAAACGACCCGU